UCAGAGAGGAAGUUCAGCAGCUCCCUGUUCUGAUGACUUGCGACCCCCCAUUGAGCUGCAUUAUGCUGGGGGCCGUGAUGUCACAAUUUCCCAUAGUUCUGCAGCUUAGCCAGCUCUGUGCACGGCAAGGGAACCUCCCAUGUGCAGCUUCAGCCAAUCAUAGAAGCCCCAGUGAGCUGAGCUCACGUGUCUUCAUCUCCUCGGCAGGGAAGCAUCUGACAGCCAGCUCAGUGUUUAUAACAGCAAGAACGAUGUCCCAAUGUCCCGAGAAGAAGCAGAGGGGGAGGGGGAGAUCCCUGAUUACAAUCUGACAGCAGCAGACGACAGACAAGGUAAAAGUACAACAAGAGGAAAGCACACCCCUGAUGUACAAUAAUCCUGCAAUACUGAAUACAAGCAGCAUAUGUGUCGCUAGAGCAGUGAAUACAAAGAACAGUAUGACUACCUGUAGGAGCUCCUCAUAUGUGAUAAAGAAGAAUCUGCUGUCAUCUUUCAUUUGCAUCCAGCCUUUCACAUGAUCAAACCAAG